rnacentral:rRNA from 1 species
GACGAACGCUGGCGGCGUGCUUAACACAUGCAAGUCGAACGGAAAGGCCCUGCUUUUGUGGGGUGCUCGAGUGGCGAACGGGUGAGUAACACGUGAGUAACCUGCCCUUGACUUUGGGAUAACUUCAGGAAACUGGGGCUAAUACCGGAUAGGAGCUCCUGCUGCAUGGUGGGGGUUGGAAAGUUUCGGCGGUUGGGGAUGGACUCGCGGCUUAUCAGCUUGUUGGUGGGGUAGUGGCUUACCAAGGCUUUGACGGGUAGCCGGCCUGAGAGGGUGACCGGGCAAAUUGGGAAUGAGAUACGGCCCAGACUCCUACGGGAGGCAGCAGUGGGGAAUAUUGCACAAUGGGCGGAAGCCUGAUGCAGCAACGCCGCGUGCGGGAUGACGGCCUUCGGGUUGUAAACCGCUUUCGCCUGUGACGAAGCGUGAGUGACGGUAAUGGGUAAAGAAGCACCGGCUAACUACGUG